AUCCCCUGGCAAUAGGCAGAGACACCUUAUUGGUGGUGGUGUUCUUAUUUCUAUCAGUCAGGGGCAGAACAGAUGGUAGCCCUUUGUUCAUCCUAGCUUGAUGCCUGGCUUGGUGGCCAAAGCUGCUGUUUCAUGCCUAGGGCAUUUUU